rnacentral:rRNA from 1 species
UACGGGGGGGGGCAAGCGUUUGUUCGGAAUUACUGGGCGUAAAGGGUGCGUAGGUGGCCAACUAAGUCAGACGUGAAAUCCCUCGGCCUAACCGAGGAACUGCGUCCGAUACUGCGGUGCUUGAGGAUCAGAGGGGUGCAUGGAAUUUCCGGUGGAGCGGUGAAAUGCGUUGAUAUCGGAAGGAACUCCGGCGGCGAAAGCGAUGCACUGGCUGAUUUCUGACGCUGAGGUGCGAAAGCCAGGGGAGCAAACGGG